rnacentral:tRNA from 1 species
UCCCUAGUGUCUCAGCGGUAAAGAAUCUGCCUGCAGUGCAGGAGAUGCGGGAGACACAGGUUUGAUCCCUGGUUUGGGAA